GGCUCAGGAUGAACGCUAGCGGCAGGCUUAACACAUGCAAGUCGAGGGGCAGCAUAAUGGAUAGCAAUAUCUAUGGUGGCGACCGGCGCACGGGUGCGUAACGCGUAUGCAACCUACCUUUAACAGGGGGAUAACACUGAGAAAUUGGUACUAAUACCCCAUAAUAUCAUAGAAGGCAUCUUUUAUGGUUGAAAAUUCCGAUGGUUAGAGAUGGGCAUGCGUUGUAUUAGCUAGUUGGUGGGGUAACGGCUCACCAAGGCGACGAUACAUAGGGGGACUGAGAGGUUAACCCCCCACACUGGUACUGAGACACGGACCAGACUCCUACGGGAGGCAGCAGUGAGGAAUAUUGGUCAAUGGACGAGAGUCUGAACCAGCCAAGUAGCGUGCAGGAUGACGGCCCUAUGGGUUGUAAACUGCUUUUAUAAGGGAAUAAAGUGGGAGUCGUGACUCUUUUUGCAUGUACCUUAUGAAUAAGGACCGGCUAAUUCCGUG
rnacentral:rRNA from 1 species